rnacentral:rRNA from 1 species
UACGAGGGGGGCAAGCGUUGUUCGGAAUUAUUGGGCGUAAAGGGCGCGUAGGCGGUGCGGUAAGUCACCUGUGAAAACUCUGGGCUCAACUCAGAGCCUGCAGGCGAAACUGCCGUGCUGGAGUGUGGGAGAGGUGCGUGGAAUUCCCGGUGUAGCGGUGAAAUGCGUAGAGAUCUGGAAGAACACCGAAGGCGAAGGCAGCGUCCUGGCUCGCAACUGACGCUCAUGUGCGAAAGCUAGGGGAGCGAACGGG